GCGCUAAUGGUGGAAUUGGUAGACACACCAGUUUUAGGAGCUGGCGAUAUUCUCAUGCAGGUUCAAGUCCUGCUUAGCGU
rnacentral:tRNA from 1 species